CACCAUUAUCCACAACCCACGGUUUAUCAAAAGGAGAAGGGCAAGCAGAUGGACCUGUGAAGGAGAGAGCUGGGCCUUUGAGGAGUUCCAUUAAUUGGUUAUAUUGCUCGGCCGAGAGACCAGAAAUUUCACUCAUGGCUAAGGAGUUGGCGGCGGCAAAAACUUGAUGGAUAGCCCGCAAAAAGGAAUAGGUUGUGUUGUGUUUGCUCUUGGAUAACUACCAUUCUAUGUACCCAGUAACCUCAAAGCAUUUGUCAUGUUGACGGCCGGGUUUACCACAUACUUCACAGAGAGGAGUUUCGAUGGGCCAGACCGUUGUGGCAUCGAGCGGGCGAUUAGAGUUGAGGCAUCCGGUCCAGCUGGGUUUAAUUGGAGCAAACGUUGGGUUUCUUCUUGGUAGCGGGUAGUAUAGAAACGAAUAAUAGAAAUGAGUGGUUCUGUGGCUAAAAUCUGUGACCGAAUUUACUGAAAACUCUCAUUAAGGCCCAUGAGAAAUUGAUAAACUCGAUAUGUGUCUUGAGAUUCAGCGAAGGAUUUAUGGGCAUCACAUGUACAUGGAUUGAUUGGUUGCAGGAGCCUAAUUCAUCCCAUAACUCCUUCAAUUUUCCAUAGUAUGAUGUAAUUGAUUUUUGUUCCUUGUGAAGAUUGGCCAAAUCCCAAAACUUUGGUGUGUUUGCUUUGUUAGAAACAGGUUUCUAGUUCUACCCAUAAGUCAUUCGGUGUAGCACAAUAGAGAAGGCUGAUUGUAAGUAAUCGAUCAAUGGAAUGGAGCAGCCAUGACAUUAUUAUGUCACAGCAUCAGUCCCAGAGUAAUACUACAGUGGAGUCUUCGGUGGGUCAUUUGAUGGUGCUGAGAACAAAGCCCAAUUUGUUCUUGGCAUUCAGUGCUCGAGUGAUUGGUCGAUGCCAAGAGGGAUAAUUGUCGCCAUUAAGAGGUGUAUCCACAAGAAACUAAUUUGGUUGGUCAGAUGAAUGCAGGAAGUAUGGGGAUGAAGCAUUAGUGAGAGACUUGUUGAUAUUGAAGGCAAGGGAUUCGACCGCAGAAGCAAAGGUAUGGAUUUCGAAACCUAACACUCUGAUACCAUGUUAUGUUUCAGAUGGAAUGAAAAUAAACUUCAUUGAUUUCAUAUGUAAUGUGUAUUUAUAUAGCAAAAUAAUCUCUAUGAUCCCUUGAAUCAUACGUAAUACAUUCCCAGAAUUAAGCACAAAAUACGUCCCUUUAUCCAUUUUUUAAUAUUUUUUUCCUCCAAAAGAUCGUCCAACAUCGAAUUUCACCUAAACAAACAAUAUUUACACAUGAUUAAGUAAUAAUCCCUUGAAUGUACUCUCUAAUAUUAAUAUUUAACAGGCAAAAUAAAUGUAUAAAUACACUUUUUUUGUACUUUCUACUAUUAUACCACAUUGAAGCGUGCAGAUAAGCUCAUUCUUUAUCGUCUCAUGCUUCUCUAAGAUUCCCUUGUAGCUCAAUCUUGUCGUCUACUAUUUAUCUCCAAUAUUAUGCAGAAUUAUGGCUUUCUUCAAAUUCAAGGAAAUUGGAAUUCUAUCUAUUUAUUUUUUUAAUAUUUAUUUUUUAGACAAAUAUUGAUUGUUUGCUAUUUUUAGGUAUUUAUUUCAAUUAUCCCCUUAAGAUUUGUUUUUAGUCAAGUGUAUGUCCUCACUACCUCGGGGAAAAUAUCAUAUGGAUUCCAG
rnacentral:lncRNA from 1 species